rnacentral:ribozyme from 1 species
CAUUUGUUAUUUAGGGAUAGAGACAAUCUCUCAUUUGUUGGAACCUGUUCGCCCUUCUCAAAUCGAUUUUCUUCAUCCCUUUUCCUUCCUUUCCUUUCGGAUUUCCUU